UACUAGUUUUUUCUCCGAUCCGUCAUACCUACCAGGCGCAGAGCCUCACGGUAUGCGGUCAACGGGUUCCGCUGGAAACGGCGGUGCCUCCCUUUUGGAAAGGAGAACUCUUUAUUCCCCU
rfam:Geobacter metallireducens GS-15, complete genome.